rnacentral:rRNA from 1 species
CACGUAGGGUGCGAGCGUUGUCCGGAAUUAUUGGGCGUAAAGAGCUCGUAGGCGGUGUGUCGCGUCGGCCGUGAAAACCUGCAGCUUAACUGUGGGCUUGCGGUCGAUACGGGCAUCACUGGAGUUCGGCAGGGGAGACUGGAAUUCCUGGUGUAGCGGUGAAAUGCGCAGAUAUCAGGAGGAAUACCGGUGGCGAAAGCGACUCUCUGGACGGCAACUGACGCUGAGGCACGAAAGCGUGGGGAGCAAACAGG